UACGUAGGGUGCAAGCGUUGUCCGGAAUUAUUGGGCGUAAAGAGCUCGUAGGCGGUCUGUCGCGUCUGCUGUGAAAACCUAGGGCUUAACUCUGGGCGUGCAGUGGGUACGGGCAGGCUAGAGUGCGGUAGGGGGAGACUGGAAUUCCUGGUGUAGCGGUGAAAUGCGCAGAUAUCAGGAAGAACACCCGUGGCGAAGGCGGCUCUCUGGGGACGGUACUGACGCUGAGACGCGAAAAGCGUGGGGGAGCGAACAGG
rnacentral:rRNA from 1 species